CCCCCUGGAAUAAACAACCGCUCCAGCAUUCCACCAUAACGGAGAAUGUGUCCUCAAGUGCUUCUUAGUCCUUCGUGUAGUGGCCUGAAUAUCCCGAACGAACAAGAGCUUUUAAUGGAAGGUUUUGCCGAAUUUGAGUCGUUAAUUAAAACGACAGGGAACAAAGUCUGCAAAAGCCAGGAGAGAGGGCUGGCAAAAAGUAGCAGACAAAUUAAAUGCAGCCACCACUGGACCCACUAGAACAUGGGAACAAGUAAAAGUGAAAUACAAGAAUAUUCUACAAAAUG